ACUCCUACGGGAGGCAGCAGUGGGGAAUCUUAGACAAUGGGCGCAAGCCUGAUCCAGCCAUGCCGCGUGAGUGAUGAAGGCCUUAGGGUUGUAAAGCUCUUUUGUCCGGGAAGAUAAUGACUGUACCGGAAGAAUAAGCCCCGGCUAACUUCGUGCCAGCAGCCGCGGUAAU
rnacentral:rRNA from 1 species